rnacentral:rRNA from 1 species
AGAAUCAACGCUGGCGGCGUGCCUAACACAUGCAAGUCGAACGAGAAAGGGGAGCAAUCCCUGAGUACAGUGGCGACCGGGUGAGUAACACGUGACUAACCUACCCUCGAGUGUGGAAUAACAUCGGGAAACCGAUGCUAAUACCGCAUAACAUCGCAAGAUCAAAGGAGUAAUCCGCUUGAGGAGGGGGUCGCGGCUGAUUAGCUAGUUGGCGGGGUAAUGGCCCACCAAGGCGAAGAUCGGUAUCCGGCCUGAGAGGGCGCACGGACACACUGGAACUGAAACACGGUCCAGACUCCUACGGAGGCAGCAGUGGGGAAUUUUGCGCAAUGGGGGAAACCCUGACGCAGCAACGCCGCGUGGAGGAUGAAGCCCCUUGGGGCGUAAACUCCUUUCGACCAAGACGAUAAUGACGGUACUGGUGGAAGAAGCACCGGCUAACUCUGUGCCAGCAGCCGC